rnacentral:rRNA from 1 species
UACGUAGGGAGCAAGCGUUGUCCGGAAUUACUGGGCGUAAAGGGUGCGUAGGCGGUCUUUCAAGCCAGAAGUGAAAGGCUACGGCUCAACCGUAGUAAGCUUUUGGAACUGUAAGACUUGAGUGCAGGAGAGGAGAGUGGAAUUCCUAGUGUAGCGGUGAAAUGCGUAGAUAUUAGGAGGAACAUCAGUGGCGAAGGCGGCUUACUGGACUGUAACUGACACUGAGGCUCGAAAGCGUGGGGAGCAAACAGGAUUAGAUACCCGGGUAGUCCCU